CGGCUAGGGGACUGCGGAGGACAUUA
rnacentral:rRNA from 1 species